CUGAUUGUCCUGUCUACGACAAGGAUUGAUCACACUGAAAACGACUUGCUUGCAUGCCUCGUCGACUAUGAUGCAGUGGCAGUCCAGUGCUAUGCUAUUCCUUCCAGAGGCCCACGCGCUGCUGUGGACCCUCCAUCGGUACCUGCGGCUACCUCCUGCACAAAGUUAGUGGCAGCCUGAGUCACUGGAGGUGUUGGGGGUCCAGCUUGAGAGAUAGAGGACAUCUUCACUCUUGCACUUUCUCUCUUCUGUCGGUGAAUUUCUUCUCAUAAAGUUCUCCACUUCCUGGUCAGAGAGGCGACCAUGCUCCUGGACAAUAGACUUCAGUUUCUGGUACACACACUCAGCCAUGGUACAGUCACCACAUACAUAAAAGUGUCCCUUCUGCUCUACUACUUGACGAUACACCUCUGAGCCAACACCAACAAGGAGAUCCUGGACAUAUGUCUGUGAAUUUAAAAAGUACAAGAAACCUAUUCAAACAUACAUCAUUAUGUUAGUUUGAUAAAGUCCUAAUGAAUCAUAGUAACAUC